AUAAAUAUGGAGCCUUUAGGAGAUACCAUGAUCACGAAGGUGGUUUUCCCAGGGCGAGGCUUAUCCAUUGCACUCCGGAUGUGCUGACCCCUGCGAUUUCCCCAAAUGUGGGAAACUCGACUGCAUAAUUUGUGGUAGUGGGGGACUGCGUUCGCGCUCUCCCCUG
ensembl:snRNA U1 U1 spliceosomal RNA